GUAGGUGGCAAGCGUUGUCCGGAAUUAUUGGGCGUAAAGCGCGCGCAGGCGGUUCUUUAAGCCUGAUGUGAAAGCCCACGGCUCAACCGUGGAGGGUCAUUGGAAACUGGAGAACUUGAGUACAGAAGAGGAAAGCGGAAUUCCACGUGUAGCGGUGAAAUGCGUAGAGAUGUGGAGGAACACCAGUGGCGAAGGCGGCUUUCUGGUCUGUAACUGACGCUGAGGCGCGAAAGCGUGGGGAGCAAACAGGGAUUAGAUACCCUGGUAGUCCACGCCGUAAACGAUGAGUGCUAAGUGUUAGGGGGGUUUCCGCCCCCUUAGUGCUGCAGCUAACGCAUUAAGCACUCCGCCUGGGGAGUACGGCCGCAAGGCUG
rnacentral:rRNA from 1 species